CAUGUCAAGAAAUAUAAACAAAAUAGCCGACUUAAUUGAACUUUGUGGCCUUUUUAUGAAAACAAAUUAUUUGUCAGCACGCCAAAGCUGUGACGCUAGCCAAUCACACGGCGCGUAAUUUGUUCUACAUUCCAAGGUUGUGACGCUGGCCAAUCAGUUUUCAUGUACACUCUUUGAAUCAUGAUAUGGCGCGCAAGCAUAUGACCGUUACAUAUUUCGACAUCAUACUGCAGUUGUGUGGACGUGUAACGUGCAGCCGACAUCAUUUUACUCAAAUAACAGAAGAGUUUACAAGACCUCACAGAUGACGAAACCCCACUCAGCAAUGAUUCAUACAGGAAUUUAGGAGGAGCCAAAGUCAGCAUGGAUUGUCGAACCAGUAUGGAGGAGUUAUGUAUGACUUUCCAGGAUACUUCAGUUUGAAAGCUUUCGGACAGUACUCGCAGUGCCGUAGCUGGUGCAUGACCAAGUGAUUGAAGACAGUUCAACAAUGAUGGGCAGAGUGGAACUGAAAGAAAGCAGAUGAGGAGACGGACGUUUUCAGUU